GACGAACGCUGGCGGCGUGCUUAACACAUGCAAGUCGAACGGUGAACGAGGGAGCUUGCUCCCUCCGGAUCAGUGGCGAACGGGUGAGUAACACGUGAGCAAUCUGCCCCGAACUCUGGGAUAAGCGUUGGAAACGACGUCUAAUACCGGAUACGACGCGGGAGGGCAUCCUCUCCGCGUGGAAAGAACUUCGGUUCGGGAUGAGCUCGCGGCCUAUCAGCUUGUUGGUGAGGUAACGGCUCACCAAGGCGACGACGGGUAGCCGGCCUGAGAGGGUGACCGGCCACACUGGGACUGAGAAACGGCCCAGACUCCUACGGGGGGCAGCAGUGGGGAAUAUUGCACAAUGGGCGCAAGCCUGAUGCAGCAACGCCGCGUGAGGGACGACGGCCUUCGGGUUGUAAACCUCUUUUAGCAGGGAAGAAGCGAAAGUGACGGUACCUGCAGAAAAAGCACCGGCUAACUACGUG
rnacentral:rRNA from 1 species